GCACUUUCUGCAGCAGCUCUGAUAUAUCUGGGUAUACACAUUGGCGGUGUAGGUGGAAGCGGCGGCGGUGGAGGAGGAGGUCAACACUGUUUUUUAUUUUUUAAUUGGGAUAGCGCCCAAAAUAUUGGCACAUAUAAAAAAAAAAAAAGAAUAAGUGCACUUGAGUAUAACAAUGGUUGAGUAUAAAUGUGUAUUGUGCACAAGGUACAGACAAGUCUGGUGGGAUCCAUGCCUGAUUCAUUUUAAUAAGCAUGAGCUUGUCCAUGUUGGCCGCGGACAGAUGCCUGCGCUUGUCUGUGAUAACCUUGUGCCGAUCGCACAUCCCCGUGACAGCGACAAAGCAUUCGGAUGUCUGCCCUAUCAACUUUCGAUGCAAUUUUCCGUGCCUACCAUGGUGACCACGGAUAAUGGGGAAUCAGGAUUCAAUUCCAGAGAGGGAGCCUGAGAAACGGCUACCACAUGCAAGGAAGGCAACAGGUGCGCAAUUACCCACUCCCGACGCGGGGAGGUAGUGACAACAAAUAACAAUACACUACUCUUUCGAGGCCCUGUAAUUGUAAUGAGUCCACUUUAAAUCCUUUAACUUGGAUCAAUUGGAGGGCAAGUCUGGUGCAGAGCGACUGGCCCGUGAGUGCUGCAGUUAAAACUCCACUUUCGCCUGC